rnacentral:lncRNA from 1 species
CUGCAGUGAACAUAGGGGUGCAUGUAUCUUUAUGCAUUCAUGUUUUCAUGUUUUUUGGAUAAAUACCUAGCAGUGAAAUAGCUGGAUCAUAUGGUAUUUCUAUUCUUACUUUUUUGAGGAAUCUCCACACUGUUUUCCAUAGUGGCUGAACCAAUUUGCACUCCCACCAGCGGUGGAUGAGGGUUCCCUUCUCUCUACAUCCUCUCCAAUACUUGUUUCCUGUCUCAUUAACAGGCAGUAAGCCGUAUAUAUUAAUGAUUGCUGUUCUAGGUGCUACUGGUACAAUGGUGAACAAGACAGAACACGUCUGAUUUCCUGAGAAAAAAAGAUUUCAAUUCUAUGCCC